UCGAGGAUCAUUCGCAAUGCGCGAAAGCGUGACGAUGCGACGCCGCGUGCAGGAUGAAGGCCUUCGGGUCGUAAACUGCUGUCAUGAGGGAGCAAUGGUUGUGGCGCUAAUAACGCCGUGACGUGAUAGUACCUCAAGAGGAAGCCACGGCUAACUCUGUGCCAGCAGCCGCGGUAAUACAGAGGUGGCAAGCGUUGUUCGGAUUUACUGGGCGUAAAGGGUGCGUAGGCGGUCCUGCGUGUCGGGUGUGAAAGUUCACUGCUCAACGGUGGAAUUGCACUCGAAACUGCAUGACUAGAGUACAGGAGAGGAGAGCGGAAUUCUUGGUGUAGCAGUGAAAUGCGUAGAUAUCAAGAGGAACACCGGAGGCGAAGGCGGCUCUCUGGAAUGAUACUGACGCUGAGGCACGAAAGCUGGGGGAGCAAACAGG
rnacentral:rRNA from 1 species